UACGUAGGGGGCUAGCGUUGUCCGGAAUCAUUGGGCGUAAAGAGCGCGUAGGCGGCCAGAUAAGUCCGGUGUAAAAGUCCAGGGCUCAACCCUGGAAAGCCGGUGGAAACUGUCGGGCUAGAGUCCGGAAGAGGCGAGUGGAAUUCCUGGUGUAGCGGUGGAAUGCGCAGAUAUCAGGAGGAACACCAAUAGCGAAGGCAGCUCGCUGGGACGGUACUGACGCUGAGGUGCGAAAGCGUGGGGAGCAAACAGG
rnacentral:rRNA from 1 species